UGCAGUCGAGCGGUAGCACAGAGAGCUUGCUCUCGGGUGACGAGCGGCGGACGGGUGAGUAAUGUCUGGGAAACUGCCUGAUGGAGGGGGAUAACUACUGGAAACGGUAGCUAAUACCGCAUAAUGUCUCAAGACCAAAGUGGGGGACCUUCGGGCCUCUUGCCAUCAGAUGUGCCCACAUGGGAUUAGCUAGUAUGUGGGGUAACGGCUCACCUAGGCGACAAUCCCUAGCUGGUCUGAGAGGAUGACCAGCCACACUGGAACUGAGACACGGUCCAGACUCCUACGGGAGGCAGCAGUGGGGAAUAUUGCACAAUGGGCGCAAGCCUGAUGCGCCCUGCCCCGUGUGUGAGAAGGCCUUCUGGUUUUAAGCACUUUCACCGGGGAGGAAAGCGUUAAGGUUAUAACCCUGUCGAUUGACUUUCCCCCCCAAGAAACACCGGUAACUCCCUGCC
rnacentral:rRNA from 1 species